GUUUUAUCUAUCAGAGAUCAUUGCUUUGGUGAUUGAUUCGAUGGGUAGUCAUGGAUACAGCACACUACUGAUUACACAGUCAACGACGUGUGCCUCACCACGCAAUAAUUACUCCAAAUGCAUAUUCUCAUUAUUUAUUACAUACCUUUCAACUUCUGUUGGAAACUGGAACAAGGAUUUUCCUCCCUUCCAUUUUACAGUAAACAAGGUAUUUAUUGAUGACAUAUGUUUCUUAUCGUGAAAAAAAGUUGAUUCACAGUAGGAGUACUAGUAGUGGGAAAACUUGCAAAGAAAUCGAUUUCUAGCUAUUUAAGCCAAGUAAGUUUUUUAUUUUUGUGAAUUAGCUAGCCAGCUAGAUAUCUACUUGGGACAAGCUAGCUACCGCCAAGAAGAGGAUGAAGACCAUUUGUGCCUUGGUGAAUAUGCAUGACGAUCAUUAGGAAAACAUCCACUAUCUAGUGCACUCGUCCUAAACAACAUAAUCUCUAUAAACAAUUAGGUAAGUCAUGUCCACCAAACUUAGUGCACUCUGUUAUAAAUUCGAGUUUUGGAAACAGAAAACUGUAUGAAGAUUGUUAAAGUUGCGUCAAUUCGUUUCUGGUAUCAGAACAAAAUAGUCAGCACAUAGUAACUUCUGAUUUAGCUGUACUUUAAUUAAUGCAAACACGUGUAUGGUAAAUAUGUGGUUCGCAUAUAUACACGGUCUCUCUGUGACACCUCGCAGGGCAGACAGAGAAGAGAGCGACACAUCCUAUUGUUCUCUCUUAUAUACUCUGACAGUGAUAGUUCCUGCUCAAUGCUGGCCUGUCAGAGGGAGGAGGAGCGUGGUUUAAACUUGCUCCUCCUAUCGUCGGCGUGCAGGCUGGUCCCAACCUCGUGACGCACUUCCUGUCGCCGGGUGUAGUUCUUGUCUUCAGCAGUUGACUUAUCCGGAGUUGAUAUAUUUAAUAUUGUAGCAUAGCUUCCCCAGUAUAUUAUAUAAGUUAUGCAAACAAAUAGCCAGUUCAACCCUAACAAGAUCAAAUGUUUCCUUUAUGAGAAAAUUAGCAUAGCAUAUCGGCCAAAAUCCAUCUAGCUCAAUCUUCUCCCACUGCUGUUCACUGGGCUUCAUAUUUCACUGGGCUUCCUCUCACUAACCGGAUGUCUCACAUUUAUACAUCCAGUGAAAUAUCUGUCUCAUCUCUCUGUGCCUCUACGGUCACGGUUGCGUUUCCGGAACAUUAUGGGCCGUACGCGUCUCUGGUCCAACAAAAAUAUGUUCCCGGUAAAGCAGGACGUCAGCCACCACCAGAGAGGUUUCUUUUUAAAUUCCUUGGUCACUGUGGACCUUGUUACCAUGACAACAUUGCCCAAUCAAACGCAUUACCUCUAUCAACAUGGACGAAUUGACAGUUGAGUUGUUUAAAGUCUUAGUUAGAUUGCACAUGGGUGGACUUUAUUUAAGUGUCACAUGAUCUGUCACAUAAUCUCAGUAUUUAUACAACUGUUCUGAAAGGCCCCAGAGUCUGCAACACCACUAAGCAAGGGGCACCACCAAGCAAGCAGCACCAUGAAGACCAAGGAGCUCUCCAAACAGGUCAGGGACAAAGUUGUGGAGAAGUACAGAUCAGGGUUGGGUUAUAAAAAAAUAUCCUAAACUUUGAACAUCUCAGCGGAGCACCAUUAAAUCCAUUAUUAAAAAAUGGAAAGAAUAUGGCACCACAACAAACCUGCCAAGAGAGGGACGCCAACCAAAACCCAUAGACCAGGCAAGGAGGGCAUUAAUCAGAGAGGCAACAAAGAGACCAAAGAUAACCCUGAAGGAGCUGCAAAGCUCCACAGUGAAGAUUGGAGUAUCUGUCCAUAGGACCACUUAAGCCGUACACUCCACAGAGCUGGGCUUUACAGAAGAGUGGCCAGAAAAAAAUGAGCAAACACAUUUGGUGUUCAUCAAAAGGCAUGUGGGAGACUCCCCAAACAUAUGGAAGAAGGUACUCUGGCCAGAUGAGGCUCAAAUGUAGCUUUAUUUAACCAGGAAAUCCAAAUGAGGUCAAUUGAUUUUUUUCCUUGUUGUCUGUUACGUUCCCCAGUUUCUGUUUUGGGUUUGUAUGUGUUUGGAUGUGUAUGUUUCAGGAAAUGGCUUCCAGGAUUCAAAGCAGCUGAUUGGUCGGCCCCAUCGAAGAUUGGAGCUCUGACCCCUCCCUCUCGUCAGGGGAUACAGCUGUCUGCAAUUACCGACUCCUGCAGCUUGAAAAGCCAGUGUUCCUUUGUUAGGAGAGAGAGCUUCUUUGAUGUCCUGUGUUGGUUGUUGUUCAGAGACAGGUUUUGUAAAGUAUUUUGUAGUUGGUCCUGCUGAGGUAUGUCUAGGCCAAAAGGACUGUGUUUGUGAUUAUUGAAAUUGUUCACUUUAAGUUAGUAAUUAUUCUGUUUGUGUUCCCAGUGGGGAAGGGGAAGGCACCUUGGGAGUUUUUAGGCAAGAGGCCUGCGGGCAUACAUAUACCCGUAGUAUGUACUCUGUCUAUGCACACUAGGUAAGACCUGGGCGGACCACCCCCUGUAUUUUGGUUAGCGCACCAGGUGACAUUAAGAAUAGGUAAGUAGUGGGUAGGAGAGGGGGCUCUUUAAUGUUUACUUUCUUUGCUUUGGUUCCAUCCAGCCCCUUUUCCCCAAAUUACCCUGUGAAGGAAGAAUAAAUUCCCUGUUAAUGGUAAUAUUUUCUGCCUCUGUCAUCCUUACCUGCACCUACAGUCACACACCUCUCUUUCACUCCACCUACACCUCUCUUUCACUCCACCUACACCUCUCUUUCACUCCACCUACACCUCUCUUUCACUCCACGGGGAGUUGAGUGUAGCAGGGUGUCGCGUUUCCCCCCUCCAAGAGGUGUGCGCAACAUUGUCCAUUAACACCUUAACCAAAGAGCACCGUCAACCUAUGUUUCAGUGAUCUACUGACUAGUAUAUCCUUUAGACGGAUUGUUCUUCUGUUAUUGCCAGGAGACUGUUACCAUGGCCGCCAUUACCAUGGCCACCAUAACCCUGUCACUGCUUCUCCCCGCUGUUCUGCUCAGAACACUGACAGAGUGUAUGGAGUGAUGCCAGACCCCCUGUGAGAUUGCUAGAGAUGCUGCGGGGGCCUAACUUGAUUGGAGACUUCACCCUGCAGUGUGACAACCAGGGACAAUACACCCCUCAGCAGUGGCCAGGCUCUGCAGUUUCUGUUGGUGUGGACAGAAGAGCCCUGGUACUGAGUCCACCAGACACUGCUCACAUAAACUGUGAGAGGACAGGUAGGACGAGUAUGUGUUUGUUUAUAUUAGUGUGCCUUUAUACACUCACUGUACAAAACAUUAAGAACACAUGUGACGACCCUCCCACUCUAUCUGCUGUGUUCUCUCUUUGCUCUUGUUUCCUUAUUAGGAUGCCGGUGGGCGGGUCGUCAGCUACAUGGGAAACACCUGGGCCCAGGUGUGUCCCAGGAUAAAUAGACCUCUUCCACAGUCAUUGAGACUUUCUCCAUGCAGACACUAUGGUUUAUUUGUAUAUAGGUUACUUUAGUUUUUUCAAUUGUUUAAGCACAAUUUUGAAAACAGGGCCCGGUUUGUCAAAACACUACACACAAUUAGCACAACCCUACACCAAAGUAGCACAACAACACUUUAGUCAAAACUAUACACGACUACAUAAAAACAAUAUUUUGUUACCAUACGAAACACACAUUUCAUAUGACUUCAAUCUUUUUGAACCAGUUACAUACUGCUGUUGCUAACGUAAAACACUUUUAGCAAGUCUAAUUGUCAGUGAUUAGAGUACUGUAAAUGAAGUACACAGAGAAAGUGAAACUAUACAAACACUACACAAGACCAAUGCUGCAGACUGAGGAAAAUAUCAUUUAUUUCUCUCCAUAUACCCAAAUAUGUCAACAUGGAGAAUCACAACACAUGUCCCAGUUUUCAUGCUACUACAGUAGUGUGCAUAACACUUACCUCAGCAAACAGACAAACGUAAAAUACUGUAUCCAGUACAGGUUACAAUUACAGUAAAUAACAACAAAAAAUAAUCUGAAAAAAUGGACAAUGUUGUACAGACAAUACUACAGUAAACAUACUAUACAUUAUCUCUUCGCCUAGCUGGAUCUGGCCAGAGAAUUUAAUCAACAUCACAAGCAAUAUCCUUAUUAGCAAGAUAACGCGGGAAGAACCGUCUUGAAUGUCUAAUCCAUCCUUGCACAGCUGCGGCGUCGACUUGGCCACAGGCGUCCUCCAUGGCCUGAAUGAGGGGUACCUGAGCCUGGGGCUGGAGAUCGUAAACCUUCCACCGCCAUGCAGAGAAACUCUUCGAUAGGGUUUAGAAACGGAGAGUAUGAUGGAAGGUAUAGUACUGUCAACUGUGGAUGGUGUUGAAACCAGUUCUAGACCAAAGCAGAGGUGAAAUGACACAUUGUCCCAGAUGACAGUAUUGCAUCUGGUGCAUUUCAUUACCUGCUGUGACGAUGUGGUGCAAUCGGUCCAAAAAUGCGAGAAUGUGAGGUGUGUUGUAAGGGCCUAUUUUGGCAUGAUGGAGGAGAACCCCAUGCUGUGAAAUGGCAGCGCAAAGGGUGAUGUUACCCACACGUUUCCCUGGGACAUUGAUUAUAGCCCUGUGGCCAAUGAUAUUUCUGCCUCUCCUUCUUGCUUUUGUGAGGUUGAACCCUGCCUCAUCAAUAUAUAUGAAUUCAUGCAGGAUUUCCUCAGCAUCCAUCUGCAAAACUCCCUGAAAUACAGUGAAAGACAAGAUUGUGUAGUUCAGGAUAGGUCUAGUAUACAGUCAAUGUAAAAAAGUAAUGUGUGCAGUAUGCAACAUCACAGUGCUAAAGUGAACAAUACAAACCUCCACAUACUCAUGCUGCAGCCGUUUGACCCUCUCUGAAUUCCGCUCAAAAGGCACUGGAUAAAGUUGUUUCAUUUGAACCUGAUGUCUUUUCAGGAUGCGUGCCAGUGUUGACUGAGAGGCCUGAUGGACAUUGAGAAUGGCAUGGUCACCGAUAAUGUUGGCUUGUAGUUCUGAGCCUGAUAGGAUUAUUGGCCAAAACCAUGUUUAUUAUCUCUCUUGUGCUUGCGUGAAUAUGGGCCCCCUUCCUCUUUGUCGUUCCCGACCCUCAAUCAUAUGUAGAGAAUAAUACAUGUAACUUACUGUACAAUGUCACAGGAAGGGGUAUCACAAGUGUUGAUAUGGUGCAUACAAUAAGCGGCUGAUUACUGUAACUGUAGACAGAUCUUCUUUUACCUGUUUUCCUGUCAAAAAGUCCUUAUGACAGAUGCCACUGUAUAUCUGCUAAGAUUUGGCUGAACUCAGUCCAGCCUCCCUCAGCAUCAAUCCGUGGUUCACAACAUGGUCCACUAGUGUUGCACGAAUGUCAAUUGGAUAAGUUUGAUUCUCUUAUUCUUUGUGCACGUUCUACUCCUGCUUCAGGUCUUCCUCUGGCUCGGCCUCUUCCUCUACCUCCUUCUCCUCUGUGUACUCCUCCUCUCACCCUCACUCUUCUUCUGACUCCUUCCAUUUUGGUUGAAGGCAGGUAAACCUACCUGCUGCAUUUUUAUAGUGCUUAAACCUGAUUGGUGUGUCUACAAUUUAGCAAUCGUGUUUGUGCACCUGAUGGCUGUGUUUAACUUCUCUACGGCCGGCGGGACGAAAUCGUCCCACCUACGUAACAGCCAGUGGAAUCCUGUGGCGCGUUAUUCAAAUACCUUAGAAAUGCUAUUACUUAAAUUUCUCAAACAUAUUACUAUUUUACAACAUUUUAAAGACAAGACUCUCGUUAAUCUAACCACACUGUCCGAUUUCAAAAAGGCUUUACAACGAAAGCAAAACAUUAGAUUAUGUCAGCAGAGUACCCAGCCAGAAAUAAUCAGACACCCAUUUUUCAAGCUAGCAUAUAAUGUCACAAAAACCCAGAAGACAGCUAAAUGCAGC
rnacentral:lncRNA from 1 species